rnacentral:lncRNA from 10 species
AAGGAUGCGAAGCUCUGUCGUCUAUCUGUUUUCUCAAUCUGAAAAGGAAAAAAAAAAAGACAACUCUAUUUCCAACUUCCCUGUGACAUCUUCAGUUUUAAGACAUUUUGUAGGAUGGCAUGUUGAUAACUUGUUUAUUUUCCUUCUUAGGAAAUGUUAAUUUCCCACUGGGAUUUUGUAACCCCACCCCCCAUGUCUUAACCAAAAUCAUCAUUUGGCAAAUUUAAGAGCACCAACACAGCAGACUACAGGGAAGUACAAGUAAAAGACAAGCAUUACAGAGACUUCUGAUGCUGAGCAUUAAAUUUUCCUGGAACUGUUCAUAUUGAAAGCACAUAUAUCACAAAGUACACUCACUCUAUGUGAGUACAUUCAAGGGAGAAAGGCACACAAAGUUUAUUAUUCCAAUUACUGCUGGGGAUUCUGUAUGUUAACAGGCAUAAAGUGUAGAUGAGGAGAUUGAAAACAGAUGAAUGGUUUUGUUAGAAGUACUUUUUUUUUGGUGGGGCGGGCAGAGGAGGGUAGGGACGGAGUCUUGCUCUUGUAGCCCAGGCUGGAGUACAGUGGUGAGAUCCCGCCUCACUGCAACCUCUGCCUCCUGGGAUCAAGCAAUUCUGCCUCAGCCUCCUGAGUAGAUGGGAUUACAGGCAUGCAGCACCACGUCCAGCUAAUUUUUGUAUUUUUAGUAGAGACAGGGUUUUGCCAUGUUGGCUAGGCUGGUGUCGAACUCCUGACCUCAGGUGAUUCCCCCACCCCAUCCCCGCCUCGGCCUCCCAAAGUGCUAGGAUUACAGGCGUGAGCCACCACGCCUGGCCAGAGGUACUAUUACUGCAUCCUAAGGCUACUUGAUUCUAUUUAUUACUAUUGAUGUGUGGGAUUCAAAAACCUAAUUAUCAUAUAACUUAGAGAAACAUUAGGAGACAACUUAAUUGAACUAUAUUCUUAAAAAAAUGGUCAAGAUAAAUUUCUUUAGUGAGAGUAUCAAAGAUUUAUCAAUAGCUAGUAAGCAAAUAUUUUGUAUCACAUACAACAUAAGUUUAUUUGUACAAUAAAAUUGCACAUAUUAAACGUGAUCUUGAUUUAAAUGUUAUAACAUGCUGGAUAGUAGGAUAUAGUUGAUAGUAAAAUAGGCACAUGAAACUUUCACAAAAUGUCUAUUUGGCGGGUUCGAAGGUAGUGCGUUAUCUCAGUUGACUGUUCUCGUCAGUCAUAGAUAGAACUUCCUGGUCCUACUCUUUUCCCCCUUUCUCACUAUUGCACUUGACUUGUCUAAAAAAAUUUUUAACGUUUAUUUAUACAUGCCAAUCUACCAUAUUUAAAAAUGUUUAAAGACCUUCAGUUUCUGAAUCAUCAGCUGAAUUAUAAUUUCGUUGAAUAUAUUUAAGUACUCUUAAGUACGUGUGGAAGAAGAGUGAACCAUUUAAGAAAAAUAUAUACCCUUUUACCUACUUAAGACCUGAAAAAUAUAAUUUAUAUGUUUCCCACACUUUAGCCCUCUGCAACUUCUGUCAUACAGAUUCAAUUUCUAUUCUACUUCUGAUAGAAUAAAAGCAGAAGUGUUUAUAUUACCUCAUCAUCUUGAUCUGACUCUGUCUCCUUUUGGUUCCAAGAUGCAUUGCAGAGACAAGGAAUAUUAUAAUGGACAGCAGGGAAAAGAAUAUCAGGAUAUGAAAAGGACUGAGUAGGGAGCACAAAUGCAAGCUGAUUUAGAAAGCAAAGCAAAUUUUAAAAAAAGCCAACAAAAAAUAUCAAGAACUGUACAUCCAUGGCAAAUUAACAUAUGACGUUAUUUAAAAGCAUAAAAAUCUAUGCGCUACCAGCAGAAGCAAAAGCGAUAAACAGAGAAGACUCCAUCAUACAAACUAUAAGAAUUUGACACCACAUUAACAAGACUUAGGCAAUCUACACGAGGAGACUAAUACAACUUCAGUUUCAAGAGCUUUAUUCAUGUUACAAAGCAUUCCUUAAUUGCAUACCAAAGG